AUCACACCUGUGAAGUUUUUAGUUUUCCGCACCCGAUCUCAUUUCUUUUGUAUGUCAGUACAACAACGCUCAUGAAGAAAAUGCAGUACAGCCUUGUGAUUUGCAUAGCAAUGUUUUUGCCUGCUUUGUUCGUAACAGUUCAUGGACAUUAUGGAUAUGUUGCACUUCUCUGUCAGGAACUUGGCUCACUAGAAAACGUUGAGUUUAUCUUCUCAGUUUACUACAACAAGGCUGAACUGUUAAGAUUCAACAGCACUGAGAAUAGGAUUGUAGGUUAUACUGAAUAUGCAAUGAAAUGGGCAGAUGACCUUAAUAAAAAGCCUGAGUGGCUACGUAAGGAGGGAAGCAACAAUGUUGCUAACUGCAAGCGAUACGGAGCACAAUUUCUCGCUUUGGUAGAUAAAGCAGUAAAACCAGAAGUCACCAUCCAGUCAGUAAGGCAGGCCAGUGGUACACAACCAGCCAUGCUGAUAUGCAGCGCUUAUGAAUUUUACCCCAAAUUCAUCAAAAUGACCUGGAUGAGAAAUGAUGAGGUGAUGAAUUCUGACGUGACCUCGACUGAAGAGCUGGCUGAUGGAGACUGGUACUAUCAGAUCCACUCACACCUGGAAUACUUCCCCAAACCUGGAGAGAAGAUCACCUGUGUGGUGGAGCACGCCAGCUCCAAUAAACCCAUGAUCUAUCACUGGCAUUCCUCUCUACCUGAAUCCGACAGAAUUGAGCUCUUCACUGGAGCCGCAGGGUUUGUGUUGGGCAUCAUUAUGACAGUUGGAGGACUGAUCUACUAUCUAAAAAAACAUACAGGGCACAUGCUGGGCAGGAACCUGAGCUGAUUGGGUUUCAUUCACCCAUCUCCGAGUCGGCAGUAAAUUCGGCCGGGGGUCCCCGAGGGGCCCCCUCGACACCUCAUCUCCAGCUGGCUGCGAGCGAUUGUUGAGGAGCUGAAGAGUCACAUUAAGGUCAUUCACCAUGGUACUACUAAGCUAACACCCCUCGUUCCUUCGAAGUCUCUUUCUUCCUCUUCUGUUUCCUUGUUCCCCUCCUGUAGGUUGCUAGGGCCUGGUAUUUGCUCUCCUUGGCCAGGCUGUAAUGACAGCCGCGGUGCCCUGCUGGCUCUCGGCAAGCGAUUCUCUUUGUACUGGUCGUGGUUAUUGGGAGCGAGAGGGCACAUGAGGGCAAGCAUUUUGAGAGGUGUUUUGACAAUUCAGAGACACAGUACAAGCGAGCGCCAAAAUCCAGGAUGGCUUCUGAGUCCACUUCGUCUCGCAGCACAAAGUACUGUAUGAGAAACAAAGUGCGGAUUACAAAGUGGCAGAUGAGCAGAUGAUUGCAAAACAGCCUGAUAACAGGAUAGUAUGUACUGAUUUUCUAGCCACGGUGCCAAACGCAAGAAGACCAUUCCUCAACAUUUGGGUAACGUUACCAAAAUCCGAGAGACCUGCGGGGAUUAAGGGUUUCUGCGGUCUCCGUCAAUCCAUUCGCGAUUGCGUUCACGGGAGAAACUUAUAUACUGGAGAACGAGAGAAAUAACAAAAUGGAUGGAUGGUGGCAGAUGGGUGUGAAAAACAGGAUUGUUUACAGGUAUGCAAGAAAAUGAAGGCAGAGAGAGUGAUGUCAAUGGGGAUGAAAUGAGAGAUAAGGAGAGAGGCAGAGCGACAGGAGCGUCAGGCUGUAUUGUUUCGCGUUUUUUUCGCAACGGAUUAAUUAAUGUGCAUCGGUGUGCAAGGUUUCUGUGUGCGUGAUGAAUUUUUAGGAUAAUUAAUAUGAAAAAACGUGUUCGAAAAUUUCGGACUGUAUGUGCAAGGACCUUUAGUGAAAUUUUGUAGUAUUUUUCUGAGAAGUACAUAAAAAGUUAACUGAAAGGAUACUUUACUAUUUUAAAGAGAUAGUUCACCCAUAAAUGAAAAUUCUGUUCCAAACCUAUUGAAGUUUCUUUGUUCUGCUAAACACAAGAUAUUUGGAAGAAUGUCAGUAACCAAACAGAUCUCAUCCCCCGUUUACUGCCAUAGUAGAGAAAAUAAAUACUAUGGGAGUCAAUGGAGGAUGAGAUCUGUUUGGUUUGGAACAAUCUGAGGGUGAGUAAAUGAUGACAGAAUUGUCAUUUUUCUGGUGAACUGUCUCUUUAAGUUUCAAAGAUGUAUACUAAUAACACACUUUAUAGUCGAAUGAACUGGUAUAUCAAUCAAACAUGCAUACCUAAAAUUUCCAUACCUUCAUUUGAAG